rnacentral:lncRNA from 1 species
UACAGACACGCUUUCCUUUCUCUCGGGCUGAGAACUGCUGGGCCACGUGGCAACCGUGCUUCGUCACUUGGGGAGCUACCAGGCUCUUCCAGAGCAGCCGUGUGCUUCACAGUGCCACCAGCAGUGUGUGGGUGCGCCCAAGGACCGCUCAGACUCCUGUUGUUUCCUGCAGACGGUCUGCACCACUCCUUCCUGCCUGUGCGACUCCACACCUAUGUGGAAACGGACCCCACCAGGCACCAGCUCCUCGUCCUCUUCCUCACCCCGGCCGGCCUCCUACCAAGAGCUGAGAUGCUGAGUGCAUCCAAGUAGCUGGCAUUGCCACAUGCACACCCCACUGCCUGCGACCCUCUCCCUGGACGCCUGGAGGGAGACCCAGCACGUACUCCCUCUUCCCAGGUGCACUGACCUGCCUGGGGCCUGUGUGGUACACCUGCAUUCCUAGGGUGCCACGUGUUCCCCUGGUGGCUCUGUGGGGCGGGUGGCAGAACACAGGCUGGUGGACAGACAGCUCCCUCUAAUCUCCGGUGAGUCAGUGCUGUUUGUGAGGGGGCUGCCGACUUGUCUCCCUGAGCUUCAGUUGACACAUCUAUAAAAAAAUCUUGGAACAAAAAUACGUGUGUGCAGUCCCCAAUAGGCUGUGAGUGCCAGGCACAGGCUCCCCGCACGCCUUCCUUUCCACGGAGGACGGCAGGGGAGUGCGGAGCCUGGCGAUGCAGGAAGGAAGAGGCUCUGGGACCCACGCU